rnacentral:sRNA from 1 species
GGAGCUGGGGCAGGAUACGGGCACCAGCCAGGACAGUUGGACCUCCCUUCCCUCCCUCUACUACCCUCUCUACUCCAAAUCCCCAGGGCCACACGACUCUUCUGUGAUGUGUAUAAUCCUCAGAGCAAAACAUACUGUAAGCGGCUCCAGGUGCUGUGCCCCGAGCACUCACGGGACCCCAAAGUAAGGUUUUCCCUCAGCUCCUCCCAUUUUGCCCCUCCUCCCUGCCUCGCUGUCCCACAUUCAUCCCUUCCUUCCUCACCUCACUUUUCCUUCACUUUUUCCUCUCAGCUUCCCUGCUGCUUCACCCUCCAUUCCUCCUUUUCCUUGCCUCCUCACCGUUCCCUGAACCCUCCAUUCUUUUCCUUCUCCCUCCUUGAGCCCCCAUUCCUAUUCUCCCUUAUCACCGCUAUUCAUCCCCCCAACCUGGCCUCCUUGCAGGUGCCAGCUGACGAGGUAUGCGGGUGCCCCCUUGUACGUGAUGUCUUUGAGCUCACGGGUGACUUCUGCCGCCUGCCCAAGCGCCAGUGCAAUCGCCAUUACUGCUGGGAGAAGCUGCGGCGUGCGGAAGUGGAUUUGGAGCGCGUGCGUGUGUGGUACAAGCUGGACGAGCUGUUUGAGCAGGAGCGCAAUGUGCGCACAGCCAUGACAAACCGCGCGGGAUUGCUGGCCCUGAUGCUGCACCAGACGAUCCAGCACGAUCCCCUCACUACCGACCUGCGCUCCAGUGCCGACCGCUGAGCCUCCUGGCCCGGACCCCUUACACCCUGCAUUCCAGAUGGGGGAGCCGCCCGGUGCCCG